rnacentral:rRNA from 1 species
ACAGAGGUCUCGAGCGUUAGGCGGAAUCACUGGGCUUAAAGCGUGUGUAGGUGGAUGCCUAAGUACCUUGUGAAAUCCCACAGCUUAACUGUGGAACUGCUUGGUAUACUGGGUGUCUUGAGUCACUCAGGGGCGAGCGGAACAGACGGUGGAGCGGUGAAAUGCGUAGAUAUCGUCUGGAACGCCGAAGGUGAAAACAGCUCGCUGGGGCUGCGCUGACGCUGAGACACGAAAGCCAGGGGAGCGAACGGGA